GAGAGGAGACCGAUCCUCAGGGAGAAAGAAAGAGAGAAGGAGAGACGGAUCCUCAGGGAGAAAGAAAGAGAGAGAGAAGGAGAGAUCGAUCCUCAGGGAGAGAGAAAGAGAGAAGGAGAGACCGAUCCUCAGGGAGAAAGAAAGAGAGAAGGAGAGACCGAUCCUCAGGGAGAAAGAAAGAGAGAAGGAGAGACCGAUCCUCAGGGAGAAAGAAAGAGAGAAGGAGAGACCGAUCCUCAGGGAGAAAGAAAGAGAGAAGGAGAGACCGAUCCUCAGGGAGAAAGAAAGAGAGAAGGAGAGACCGAUCUUCAGGGAGAAAGAAAGAGAGAAGGAGAGACCGAUCCUCAGGGAGAAAGAAAGAGAGAAGGAGAGACCGAUCCUCAGGGAGAAAGAAAGAGAGAAGGAGAGACCGAUCUUCAGGGAGAAAGAGAGACCGAUCCUCAGGGAGAAAGAAAGAGGCCGAUCCUCAGGGAGAAAGAAAGAGAGACCGAUCCUCAGGGAGAAAGAAAGAGAGACCGAUCCUCAGGGAGAAAGAAAGAGACCAAUCCUCAGGGAGAAAGAAAGAGACCGAUCCUCAGGGAGAAAGAAAGAGAGACCGAUCCUCAGGGAGAAAGAAAGAGAGACCGAUCCUCAGGGAGAAAGAAAGAGACCGAUCCUCAGGGAGAAAGAAAGAGACCGAUCCUCAGGGAGAAAGAAAGAGAGACCGAUCCUCAGGGAGAAAGAAAGAGAGACCGAUCCUCAGGGAGAGAGAAAGAGAGACCGAUCCUCAGGGAGAAAGAAAGAGAGACCGAUCCUCAGGGAGAAAGAAAGAGACCGAUCCUCAGGGAGAAAGAAAGAGAGACCGAUCCUCAGGGAGAAAGAAAGAGAGACCGAUCCUCAGGGAGAAAGAAAGAGAGACCGAUCCUCAGGGAGAAAGAAAGAGAGACCGAUCCUCAGGGAGAAAGAAAGAGAGACCGAUCCUCAGGGAGAAAGAAAGAGAGAAGGAGAGACAGAUCCUCAGAGAGAAAGAGAACUUCUGUGAGUGUAAUGUUUACUGUUCAUUUUUAUUGUUUAUUUCACUUUUGUAUAUUAUUAGAUCCACUACCUCCAACAUCCCUCCUCUCUCCCUCGGCCUGCUUAGAUCCACUACCUCCAACAUCCCUCCUCUCUCCCUCGGCCUGCUUAGAUCCACUACCUCCUACCUCCUACCUCCCUCCUCUCUCCCUCGGCCUGCUUAGAUCCACUACCUCCAACAUCCCUCCUCUCUCCCUCGGCCUGCUUAGAUCCACUACCUCCUACCUCCCUCCUCUCUCCCUCGGCCUGCUUAGAUCCACUACCUCCAACAUCCCUCCUCUCUCCCUCGGCCUGCUUAGAUCCACUACCUCCUACCUCCCUCCCUCGGCCUGCUUAGAUCCACUACCUCCAACAUCCCUCCUCUCUCCCUCGGCCUGCUUAGAUCCACUACCUCCUACCUCCCUCCUCUCUCCCUCGGCCUGCUUAGAUCCACUACCUCCAACAUCCCUCCUCUCUCCCUCGGCCUGCUUAGAUCCACUACCUCCUACCUCCCUCCUCUCUCCCUCGGCCUGCUUAGAUCCACUACCUCCAACAUCCCUCCUCUCUCCCUCGGCCUGCUUAGAUCGACUACCUCCUACCUCCCUCUCUCCCUCGGCCUGCUUAGAUCCACUACCUCCUACCUCCCUCUCUCCUUCCCUCUCUCACACCUACCUUGCGUUUCCACUCUUUCCCCCUCUCUCUUUUUUUCCACCUCCCUCAAAGUCAGAUGUAUUUAAAGUGCAUUUCAACUGGGUCUCCAUUUCCCUCUUUCUGGAGUGUCAACAACCAGACAUUUCACAUGGAAUAUCCAAGCGGGAAAAAGGUUACAAUAGCCGAUCAGUGAUUUUGGAUGAUUUCCGUAAAGUUUUUCGUUUUUUUAAAGACAGGCGGCUAUUCGCGGUUACAUCAAUCAGACAUAAAACAUUUUGCACAAACGCAUAA
rnacentral:lncRNA from 8 species